rnacentral:rRNA from 1 species
GACGAACGCUGGCGGCGUGCUUAACACAUGCAAGUCGAGCGAGCGGCGGACGGGUGAGUAAUGUAUGGGGACUGCCCGAUAGAGGGGGGUAACUACAGGAAACGGUGGCUAAUACCGCAUACUGUCGGGUGAACCAUAUGGGAUUAGCUAGUAGGUAAGGUAAUGGCUUACCUAGGCGACGAUCCCUAGCUGGUCUGAGAGGAUGAUCAGCCACACUGGGACUGAGACACGGCCCAGACUCCUACGGAGGCAGCAGUGGGGAAUAUUGCACAAUGGGCGCAAGCCUGAUGCAGCCAUGCCGCGUGUAUGAAGAAGGCCUUAGGGUUGUAAAGUACUUUCAGUCGGGAGGCGUUACCGACAGAAGAAGCACCGGCUAACUCCGUGCCAGCAGCCGCGGUAAUAC